rnacentral:lncRNA from 1 species
ACGGUGACGUAGCGCGUGGGGUGAUUUCUCGGCGUUGUCGUACCCUCGCGCUCGCUCCUCGAUCGCUGUGCAGCAACCUUCCUCUCCCGCUCUCGGAAAGCGGUAUAGGCGCGUGCUUCGCUGCUUGCUGCUGUAUAUCCUUUGCUCGGUGUCUGCCAACAGCGUUUUUGCGUUUCGAACGACGCUUGUGUUUUCUUUUGUUUGUUUUUUUCGGGAAAGGGGGAAACGAACCGGCAGCAGGCCAUCGCCGUCGAACGCUCUCGUCCAAGGUCCUCGUCCGGCCGUCGGCGAACGUGACACAACGCACAAAGCACGCGCGCGCGCUCGCUCGAGUUGAAGAGCCCCCCACAAAAGACGAGCGCUGCUUCCAAGUCGAGCCGACUGUUUGACAACUCGACUACGGUGUUAGCUCGCUCGGUGCAUUACCUCGAGCGAUCGUCACAGCAGCAGCGACUCGGCGCUUAAUAACUCCUUUGCGGAUCGCCGCCGUCUCAAUCCGAAUCCUGCCGUUCCCGCCUCGAGAGUGGACUGCGUCGUCGCCCAGGCUCCUGCUCUUCGACCGAAGCCCGCAGUACUACGUGCCAGUUCGGGCGUCGAUUAUGUCGGCGACUCCGCCGCAUCAACCGCCAGCCGUUGGCAACGAUGACGCGCUGAACGGUAAGUCGUGGGAGGAGCUGC